rnacentral:rRNA from 1 species
CGGCCGGAACGGCCGCUAAUACCCCAUAUGCCGAGAGGUGAAAUGAAUUUCGCCUGAGGAUGAGCCCGCGUCUGAUUAGCUAGUUGGUGGGGUAAUGGCCCACCAAGGCGACGAUCAGUAGCUGGUCUGAGAGGAUGAUCAGCCACACUGGGACUGAAACACGGCCCAGACUCCUACGGGAGGCAGCAGUGGGGAAUUUUCCGCAAUGGGCGAAAGCCUGACGGAACAACGCCGCGUGAGGGAUGAAGGCCUCUGGGCUGUAAACCUCUUUUCUCAAGGAAUAACACAUGACGGUACUUGAGGAAUNCGCCACGGCUAAUUCCGUGCCAGCAGCCGCGGUUAUACCGGAGUGGCAAGCUUUAUCCGGAAUUAUUGGGCGUAAAGCGUCCGCACGCGGCCUUGUAAGUCUGUCGUUAAAGCGUGCAGCUUAACUCCCUUUCAUCGAUGGAAACUACAAGGCUUGAGUGUGGUAUGGGCANAGGGAAUUCCCGGUGUACCGGUGAAUUGCUUAUAUAUCGCGAACAACACCUCUGGCGAAAGNGCUCUGCUGGGCCAUAACUGACGCUCAUGGACGAAANCCCCGGGAGCUAA